AGAGUUUGAUCCUGGCUCAGAACGAACGCUGGCGGCGUGCUUAACACAUGCAAGUCGAGUGCGCGCCUGUAGCAAUACAGGUGGCGCACGGCGCACGGGUGCGUAACACGUGGGUAAUCUGCCCUCUGAUGGGGAAUAACCCGCCGAAAGGCGGGCUAAUACCGCAUAACAUUCCUUGGAUUUCGGUCCGAGGACUCAAAGGCGUAAGUCGUCGGAGGAGGAGCCCGCGCACGAUUAGCUAGUUGGUAGGGUAAUGGCCUACCAAGGCUUUGAUCGUUAGCUGGUCUGAGAGGAUGGCCAGCCACACUGGAACUGAGACACGGUCCAGACUCCUACGGGAGGCAGCAGUGGGGAAUAUUGGACAAUGGGGGCAACCCUGAUCCAGCAAUGCCGCGUGUGUGAAGAAGGCCUUCGGGUUGUAAAGCACUUUUAUCGGGAACGAAACAUUGUCGGUUAAUACCCGGCAAGACUGACGGUACCCGAGGAAUAAGCACCGGCUAACUCCGUGCCAGCAGCCGCGGUAAUAC
rnacentral:rRNA from 1 species